GCUGUGAGGUGAGUGAUGUGCUACGAGGUGAGAGAAGAGAGCUACUGUGCUGUGAGGCAUAUCCUGGCAACGAUCCCCCACGCCCCCGGAUGUCGGCCUGGCGAGCAGGCUUCCGGUCAUGUGACCGCAUCUGAGUCCGGAAGCCGGGAUCCCGGAAGCUGGUUGGCAGCACGGUGAGGACGGCCGGAGAGGCGCCAGAACAAAAAGAUUCAAUAAAGAACAAACAAGGGAUGGAUUAUACAGGAUGACAUUCAAAGUUCAACACACCCUUACUACUUUGAAGCUACUUAAAUCAUACAACGGAG